rnacentral:rRNA from 1 species
AACGAACGCUGGCGGCAGGCUUAACACAUGCAAGUCGAACGCCCCGCAAGGGGAGUGGCAGACGGGUGAGUAACGCGUGGGAACGUGCCCAAAGGUACGGAACAACUCCGGGAAACUGGAGCUAAUACCGUAUGUGACCGAGAGGUGAAAGAUUUAUCGCCUUUGGAUCGGCCCGCGUUAGAUUAGCUAGUUGGUGGGGUAAAAGCCUACCAAGGCGACGAUCUAUAGCUGUUCUGAGAGGAAGAUCAGCCACACUGGGACUGAGACACGGCCCAGACUCCUACGGGAGGCAGCAGUGGGGAAUCUUGGACAAUGGGCGCAAGCCUGAUCCAGCCAUGCCGCGUGAGUGAUGAAGGCCUUAGGGUUGUAAAACUCUUUCGCCGAGGACGAUAAUGACGGUACUCGGAGAAGAAGCUCCGGCUAACUUCGUGCCAGCCGCCGCGGUAAAAC